rnacentral:rRNA from 1 species
GAAAGGGACCGACCUUCGGGAGCCUAUACAGGUGUUGCAUGGCUGUCGUCAGCUCGUGUCGUGAGAUGUUCGGUUAAGUCCGCUAACGAGCGCAACCCUCGUCGUAUGUUAUAUGUGUCAUACGAGACUGCCGGUAAAAAGCCGGAGGAAGGUGAGGAUGAUGUCAAGUCAGCAUGACCUUUAUAUCCAGGGCUACACACACGCUACAAUGGUCUGUACAAUGGGUAGCCAAGCCGCGAGGCGGAGCCAAUCCUGAAAGCAGGCCUCAGUUCAGAUUGCAGUCUGCAACUCGACUGCAUGAAGCCGGAGUUGCUAGUAACCGCAGGUCAGCAAUACUGCGGUGAAUACGCUCCCGGGUCUU